rnacentral:rRNA from 1 species
GACGAACGCUGGCGGCGUGCCUAAUACAUGUAAGUCGAACGGAGCGGCGGACGGGUGAGUAAUGCCUAGGAAUCUGCCUGGGAGUGGGGGAUAACGUCCGGAAACGGGCGCUAAUAUCGCAUACUAUCAGAUGAGCCUAGGUCGGAUUAGCUAGUUGGUGGGGUAAAGGCCUACCAAGGCGACGAUCCGUAACUGGUCUGAGAGGAUGAUCAGUCACACUGGAACUGAGAUACGGUCAAGAAUCCCACGGGUGGCAGAAGUGGAGUAUAUGGGACAAUGGGCGAAAGCCUUCUCCAGCCAUGCCGCGUGUGUGAAGAAGGUCUUCGGCUUGUAAAGCACUGUAAGUUGGGAGGCGUUACCAACAGAAUAAGCACCGGCUAACUUCGUGCCAGCAGCCGCGGUAAUAC